AUCUCGUCCUAACAGAUUAAAUUCUGCUUCAGGGACGAGCAAGAGUUCACCCAUUCCAAAUUUAUUUUCAGUUUCGAAUACCACAUUUUUGAUUUUGCUUACUUUAAAGGGUUCUCCUUUUGCCCCAAUUACUUGUACUUUUUUCAGGGGAAGCUUUACAUCCCUCAGGUAUUUGCUUAAUAGUCGAUUUCUCAGCUCCAGUGUCUACUAAAAGGGUGAACCCUUGUUUAUGGGGACCUAUUUUUAAUUUUAUCAAGGGCUCAUGAUGACUCCGGUCCCCUAAGAUAUAGAGCCCCUGACUCUCCUAUUCCGUUUUCAAUAUUUACUCAUCCCUGAUCCUUUCUCUGCAAUUCUUCUUUAUAUGUCCCUUCUUUCCACAGUAAAAACAACAUCCCUGUUCCUUCUUUACUACUACGUUCCCUUGUUUCUUUUCAGAUCUGUGUUCACCAGUCCGCCCUUUGUGAUUCUCUCUGACCACUGCUACCAUCAUUUUUACUUGUCGCUUGCUGCUCUCUUCUUCCCGCCUUACGUAGACUUUCUGAGCUUCCCUCAAUAAUUCAUCCAACCCUCUAUUCUGUCAGUCUUCUAACUUUUCAAUCUUCUUUCUGAUAUCUUCCCAUGAUUUUGCCACAAACUGAGUUUUGAGGAGCGCUUACCCUAAAGGGUUGUCUGGAUUUACCCCAGAGUACAGCUGAAGGGCUUUCCUCAGUCGUUCCAGCCACUUAGUAGGGCUUUCAUCUUUCUUUUGCAUUUCAUUAAAUGCUUUAUUGAUAUUCUGGCCACGGGGUACUGCUUCUCUAAUCCCCUGAAUUACUAUAGUUCUCAGGUCCUGCAUAUGAGUUCUAUGCACCGGAUCCUGAUUAUCCCAAUUAGGCCUUUGGAGUGGCCAUUUAAUAUCUGCUUGAGGUCCCUGGGCAUGUUGAGCAUCCCACAGUCUCAUUCCUGCUCGUCUAAUCAUAUCUCUUUCCUCGGUAGUAAAUAAUUGACCAAGGAUAGAUUGCAUCUCAUCCCAAGUAUAAAGGUUUGGUCCCAAAAAUUGAUUUAAUCUUUCUGCCACUCCGAGUGGGUCCUCAAUUAAGUUUCCCAUCUCGGUUCUUUUAAAAUCUCGUAGGUCAGCCGAGUUUAGGGGUACGGAAAUAUAUCCGAUCACAGGUUGAGGUCCCCCCAUGGGUAUUUCCCUUAAGGGGUACAUCUGAGCUGCCCCUUUUUGACUUCUAGUUACGCGUCUAGGAGGAGGGGGAGACCCUUGUUCCGACUCUGGUGGGGGAGUGGGCGCUCUGGGGACCUCUGGAGGGGCUGCGGGAGCAGGAGGAGGAAUGUAAGGAGGGGGGGUUAGAAGGGUUUCGUCUAACUCUUCCUUCUUUUUCCUUUGUUUAAUUUUUACUUCAUUCAGCGGGUAAAGUCUAGCUCCCGGUCUUUCUAGCCACACUUCCGCAUAUUGACUCUCCUCCGGGUUAAGGGGUUUUUUAUUAUUAACCCAGAGGUUUAAUUGCUGUCUUACCCAAUCUUCUUCUGACCCAUAGACUGGCCAAAAGACAUUUUUAGAAAUCUUCUUCCCUCCCCAUAUCUUAGUACAAUAUUCUGUCAUCUUCUGCUUAUCUUUCCCUAGGGUUCCAGGGAAAUAUCUCCAAUUGUCUAAGAUAUAUGCCAGAGGGGUAUUCUUAGGUACAGUGGGUACCCUUCCCAUGGGAGUCGAAGGCUUGCUGCCCUUCGCCCCCAUCUUCUGGAAUAUCCACAAACAUACACUCACUCGCUCCCCUUGUUCCUGGCCCAGUCCCUCGCGGGAGAUGGGAGACGCAGUACUUAAGAGUCCACACUCGCUUGGUUCAGUAUAUCGAACCUCUCACUCGUUAUAUUCCAGGAAACCCAAUCCCGCCCGAACGGCAAACCCGCGAACAAAUUCGCAAUAUACUUAUGCGUCCUGCGUCUUCGUCCGGACUCCCGUGCACAGAAUUUUAUGGGAUUUUACCGGUUUCUCCUUUGCUCAUUAUUCUAGAAUUUAGGUUCGUCGGUAAGGUUGAGGUAGGCUGUCGGUCACGGGGCCGCGGAUUGUCGCAGGGCGCCUCCCCGGAGGACGGAAGCCCACCGUUCCUUAUCCGAGUCACGGCACCAGGAAUUGUUAUAAAUUGAGACCACAAUGGAUCAUAAUCCAAUUAAAAUUUUAUUAAUUAUAGCAAGUAGAAUAUGAGCAAAGACAGCGCUGGACGGCAGGGGAGUCUGCGCUCCGCCAACUGCCGUACUGAGCAGUUCAAACAGUCCCUUUUUAUACAUCUUUACUUCCGUGUUCAUGAGGUAGUGGAGGUACUCUGCGCAUGCUUCAGUUGUUGUUAGGGGGUCGUUUUCUGCCUCCUGGUGGUCGUUGAGGCCGAAGUAAGAAGUCUUCCUCCUUUGUCCCAUAGUUGACCCCUCACUCAUAUGUCCUUAUAUGGGGUUGUUUGUCCUGUUUCUGUCGGUUCCUGGACAUCUGGCGGUUAUCUUAUCUUGCACAAGCGGUAUCUGGUUUAGUUUGUGUAAGCGAUUGCGGUUAUCCUAUCUUACACAAGCGGUGUCUGGUUUAGUUUGCAUAAGCGAUUUCAUAUCUUUUGUUGCCUAACCUUUACAUUGGGCUUAACAUAAAUCUUAAUAAACAAUACCCUAGUCCAUAGUUUCUUACACAGCCAAAACUCUCUGUUCAGCCAGGCCAGUCUUCUUCCCCACUAGUUUAUCUGUUGCCACAUGGGGAAGGCCUGGUCCUGCGCCUUUAUGACUUGCUUCUUGAAGAACGUCCGGUCUUCCUGGACCUCUUGGCCCUUCAGAACUAUCUCCCAAGGGACUCUGUCAACCAGGCUCUUAAACAGGUCAAAGUCUGCCCUCCAGAAGUGCAAGGUAGCGGUUCUGCUGACCUCACUCCUUCCUUCUCUGAGAACUGAGAAGUAUCAUCUUGUGAUCUCUAUGUCCAAGACAUCCUCCAACCACCACAUCACCCAUCACUCCUUCCCUGUUUGUAAACAGCAGGUCCAGCAGGUCAUGUCCCCUGGUUAGCUCACUGACCAGCUGUGUCAGGAAGUUAUUUUCCACACACUCCAGGAACCUCCUAGACUGUUUCCUAUCUGCUGGUAUUAGGAAUAAUCCACAAAAGUCCUGUCUUUCAUGUCUGAACAUGAAAAAUUCUGUCAAGCAAAACCAUGCAGUGUGAUUACUCCUUACGUAGUUCUGGUCCUCCCCUGUCACUUCAUAUUUUAAAUUUUUUGGGAGCAGAUCAUACAAGGUGGUCAUUCCUCAGGUGUCCUUGAUUUGGGUUUCUGCCUGCCAUGGUGCAUCUCUGAGCUCCUCUGGGCUUGUACUGAAUGAUGAAUGAUGUACUACUUAUCUAUAGGAUGAUGUACUUAUGUUUAUCUAAAAGUUGGGAAACAUCCAAGGACCCUUAUUGCUAACAUGACAGAUGUACAUUUGUCAUCUUUAAAAAGGCUAUCUGGUCCUAAGUUCCUGUUGUUUAUGCAACGUGGCAAAGACAAGGACUUAAAUCACGGUCACUAGUUUAGUGAGAUAUGUAAAUGAGUUCCUGGAAUUGUAAUGAAUAUGUAAAUGAUUUCCUGGAAAGUUAAUGAAUAAGUAUGAGUUGCUUGUAUAAAGAGGGGACUGAAAAAUCCCCUCGGUGUGCAUGACUUUGGUGGAGCGAUCCCCCAUGCACCCAGUGCUGCCAAAUAAAGAUAACCUCUGCUCGCUCAUAUAUUGGUGACUGAUUCUUUAAAUCAAUUUGGCGACCCAGAUGGGGCCUGCUCUGCUUGGCUGCAGGACCCAUUGAGAGCGGGGACUCCCUAGGGUACCCCCGGGGAUUUUCCCGGAGGGGCUCCUCAUCACAUCUGGAUCACUGCAGGAGCAGACAAGGACUCCAUCUUGCGGAGCAAAGCCAGGAGAAUUCUCCACCAGUGCUGGAAUCCAGGGGCCUGGGGACCCUCAGGGCCCCCAACUGCAUCUUCUGUCAGCAAGAUUCCCCUACCCCUCGGCUUCUCACACAGGUGGACAAGGACUUCUGCACAACAUAAAAGACUCCUCCAUGAAGAAUAAUGUCUACUGUGAAAGAGUCUGUUGAUUUCAGGUGCCCAGCUGAGUUUUCAGAACACUUUACACAUGCUGGAUGAAUUUCAUUGCAUGCUUCAGAGCUCAGAUAUUUCAGAGAGGAACCCAGAUAAUGAUGAACUGAUAAUUAGCAAGUAAGAAUGUAACAUAUGCUUUGAGUUGCUCAGUAGCACAUGAGAACCACACAAGGAAGCCAGGAAUGGAAUUCAGAGCUCUUGCACUGCAAGCAGGAAUCCCUCCUUCUUCUUCCUCCCAUUCCAUUUACAACAUGUUCUUCCUAUUCUGCAAAACUGAGACAGGCCCUGAACAGAGGUCUUGUUUCAAAAGUUAAAGUGCUUUUACUGUUCAGAUGUGACCCAUCAGCACAGCAGAGAUGAAUGUAAAAUAGAAGUCCAGUGGAAAAG